UACGUAGGUGGCAAGCGUUGUCCGGAUUUAUUGGGUUUAAAGGGUGCGUAGGCGGCCUUGUAAGUCAGUGGUGAAAUACUCUAGCUUAACUAGAGGGGUGCCAAUGAUACUGCAGGGCUUGAGUACAGAUGAGGUAGGCGGAAUUGACGGUGUAGCGGUGAAAUGCAUAGAUAUCGUCAAGAACACCUAUAGCGAAGGUAGCUUACUGGGCUGUAACUGACGCUGAGGCACGAAAGUGUGGGGAGCGAACAGG
rnacentral:rRNA from 1 species